UACGGGGGGGGCAAGCGUUGUUCGGAAUUACUGGGCGUAAAGGGUGCGUAGGCGGCUUUCUAAGUUGGAUGUGAAAACUAUGGGCUCAACCCAUAGCCUGCAUCCAAAACUGGAGAGCUUGGGUUCUGGAGGGGAAAGCGGAAUUCCUGGUGUAGCGGUGAAAUGCGUAGAUAUCAGGAGGAACACCGGUGGCGAAGGCGGCUUUCUGGACAGAUACCGACGCUGAGGCACGAAAGCGUGGGGAGCAAACAGG
rnacentral:rRNA from 1 species